AGGGGUGUCGUUCAGCGGCAGGACGUUGGUCUCCAAAACCAAUAACGGGGGUUCGAUUCCCUCCACCCCUG
rnacentral:tRNA from 1 species